UACGUAGGGUGCGAGCGUUGUCCGGAAUUAUUGGGCGUAAAGGGCUCGUAGGCGGUCUGUCACGUCGGCUGUGAAAUCCCGAGGCUCAACCUCGGGUCUGCAGUCGAUACGGGCGGACUUGAGUACUGCAGGGGAGACUGGAAUUCCUGGUGUAGCGGUGAAAUGCGCAGAUAUCAGGAGGAACACCGGUGGCGAAGGCGGGUCUCUGGGCAGUAACUGACGCUGAGGAGCGAAAAGCGUGGGGGAGCGAACAGG
rnacentral:rRNA from 1 species